rnacentral:tRNA from 1 species
GGGAAUAGCUCAGUUGGUAGAGCAUAACCUUGCCAAGGUUGGGGUCGCGAGUUCGAGUCUCGUUUCCCA